CUAUAGUUUAAUUUCUGCCCACACUGCAUGUGGGAAAUUGCUCUGAGAAUCAUAGCUUGACUUUGCUAAAAAAAACAAACUGGCGUCUAGAACACACAUUUAAAUAAUCUGUAUAUACAUGAUGAUAGGUAAACUCUGUGUAUUACACUAAUUAGCCACAACCAAAACAACUCUGAUGCAUCUAGGCAUGGACUCCACAAGACCUCUGAACCUCUCCUGUGGUAUCUGGCACCACGAUAUUAGCAGCAGAUCCUUUAAGUCCUGCACAUUGUGAGGUGGGGCCUCCAUGGAUUAGACUUGUUCCAGCACAUCCCACAGGUGCACAACUGGAUUUAGAUAUGAGGAAUUUGGAGGCCAAAGCAACACCUUGCGGAAAUAGGCCACUGCCAUCAGGGAACACCAUUGCCAUGAAGAGGUAUACAUGGUCUGCAACAAUUUCCAAGUAGGUGGUAUGUGUCAAAGUAACAUUUACAAACCCAUUCGAGGGAGAACAUUACCCAGAGCUCCACUGGCCUGCCUUCUUCCCAUAGUGCAUCCUGCUGCCAUCUCUUCCCUAGGUAAAUGACGCACACACACCUAGCCAUCCACCUGAUCAAACAGAAAAUGUGAUUCCUCAGACAAGGCAACCUUCUUCCAUUGUUCCAUGGUCCAGUUCUGAUGCCUACGCUCCCAUUGAAGGCGCUUUCAGUGAUGGACAGGGUUCAUAUCGGGCACUCUAACUAGUCUGUGGCUACGUAGCUUUAUAUGGGCAAACUGCGAUGUUUUGACACCUUUCUGUCAUGGCCAGAAUUAUUUUUUUCAGCA